CCUACGGGAGGCAGCAGUGGGGAAUAUUGCACAAUGGGGGAAACCCUGAUGCAGCGACGCCGCGUGAGUGAAGCAGUAAUUCGUUAUGUAAAGCUCUAUCAGCAGGGAAGAAAAUGACGGUACCUGAGGAAGAAGCACCGGCUAAUGACGUGCCAACAGCCGCGGUAAGACGUAGGGGGCAAGAGUUAUUCGGAUUUACUGGGUGUAAAGGGAGCGUAGACGGCAGUGGAAGACUGGAGUGAAAGGCGGGGGCUCAAACCCCGGACUGCUCUGGAAACUGUACGGCUGGAGUGCAGGAGAGGUAAUUGGAAGUCCUGGUGUAGCGGUGAAAUGCGUAGAUAUUAGGAGGAACACCAGUGGCGAAGGCGGCUUACUGGACUGUAACUGACGUUGAGGCUCGAAAGCGUGGGGAGCAAACAGGAUUAGAUACCCGAGUAGUC
rnacentral:rRNA from 1 species